AUUUAGGCAGCACCCUCUGGUUUAUAAUGUUAAAAUCAUAGCAUCACUAUGUAGGAAGAAAUGUAUUUUCUAAUCCAUUAUGGUUUUCAGGGAUGAAGAGAAUUACUAUUGUAUAACUGAAAAUAAUACCACACCAUUAAGAAUGUAAGUGAAACGGAAGUGUCUAAGGCACUGGAAUCUUUGUACAACUUAAUCUUUUAGAUAAAUUUGAAAUUUUUAAAUGCUUUAAAAUAGGGAUAAACUCUCCAAGAUUCUGAGUUUACAAAAAAAUUUCCAAGUGUUUUAAGUAAUUAAUUUUCUUAUAUAAAUACCAAGUAAGACAUAGAGGUACUUGUCAACAAACUGACUCUAGAUUUCUAUCAAUGAGCCUAAUAAUAUUACACUGAUAGUUUAGAUAUUAGGCUAAAAGACAUUAAUAAUAGAGAUUAAAGUAAAAGUUGUAUAUUUAAAUUAAUUCAGUUAAAUGUUAUUGAUACUCGUUUCCAUUAAUUCUGUUUUUGCAACCACUCAGACUUAGUUUCCAGGCAGAAAAAAGGUAGAAAAUGUUGUUGAAAUUCUUCACAUUGAUGUCAGGGCAAUGAUCUCAAAUGGCGCAGUGGGAACCAGCAAAUUUAAGAGAUUUCACAAAUCUGAGUUACCUGGGAAGAUCUAAAGGGAAGUAAUUCCAAACAGGAUUUCCAUUCCACAUGGAAAUGUGACAAGAAGAAUUAAAAGGAGCAAAAUGAGUGACUGGAAAUUAGGGCAGUGGUGUUUCAAGAGACUGCUGAGAAUAAAGUUAAAGCUGCACAGAGAUGAAUUAUUCUUCUAAAACGGGCCUCUGCGCAGAGUAUGUUAACACUUCCUAAUGAAUCUCACUGGUGAAAUUUUGAAAUGCAUAAAGAUACCAAC
rnacentral:lncRNA from 1 species